rnacentral:rRNA from 1 species
AUACAGAGGGUGCAAGCGUUAUCCGGAUUUAUUGGGCGUAAAGCGAGCGCAGGCGGUUUUUUAAGUCUGAUGUGAAAGCCCUGAGCUUAACUUAGGAAUUGCAUUCGAUACUGGGAAGCUAGAGUAUGGGAGAGGAUGGUAGAAUUCCAGGUGUAGCGGUGAAAUGCGUAGAGAUCUGGAGGAAUACCGAUGGCGAAGGCAGCCUUCUGGCAUCAUACUGACACUGAGGUUCGAAAGCGUGGGUAGC